rnacentral:rRNA from 1 species
CGUAGGGUGCAAGCAUUAAUCGGAAUUACUGGGCGUAAAGCGUGCGCAGGCGGUUGCGUAAGUCUGUCGUGAAAUCCCGGGCUCAACCUGGGAAUUGCGAUGGAGACUGCACGGCUAGAGUGUGUCAGAGGGGGGUAGAAUUCCACGUGUAGCAGUGAAAUGCGUAGAUAUGUGGAGGAACACCGAUGGCGAAGGCAGCCCCCUGGGAUAACACUGACGCUCAUGCACGAAAGCGUGGGGAGCAAACAGGAUUAGAUACCCUGGUAGUCCACGCCCUAAACGAUGUCUACUAGUUGUCGGGUCUUAAUUGACUUGGUAACGCAGCUAACGCGUGAAGUAGACCGCCUGGGGAGUACGGUCGCAAGAUUA